rnacentral:rRNA from 1 species
AGCAGCCGCGGUAAUUCCAGCUCCAAUAGCGUAUAUUAAAGUUGUUGCAGUUAAAAAGCUCGUAGUGGAAUUUCGGGGUUAGUAAGUUGGUCAUGCCUUCGGUAUGUACUGGCUUUACUGAUUCCUCCUUCUUGACGAACCGUGAUGUCAUUAAUUUGGUGUUGCGGGAAAUCAGGACUGUUACUUUGAAAAAAUUAGAGUGUUUAAAGCAGGCUAACGCUUGAAUACAUUAGCAUGGAAUAAUGAAAUAGGACGUUAAUCCUAUUUUGUUGGUUUCUAGGAUCGACGUAAUGAUUAAUAGGGAUAGUUGGGGGCAUUAGUAUUCAAUUGUCAGAGGUGAAAUUCUUGGAUUUAUUGAAGACUAACUACUGCGAAAGCAUUUGCCAAGGAUGUUUUCAUUAAUCAAGAACGAAAGUUAGGGGAUCGAAGACGAUCAGAUACCGUCGUAGUCUUAACCAUAAACUAUGCCGACUAGGGAUCGGAUGAUGUUAUUUUUAAUGACUCA